rnacentral:lncRNA from 1 species
AGCGGCAGGCGGCUUGUCCUCGCCGGAGGCGAAGGCGCCAAGGCGGUGCAUCUGCAUAAGCAUCUUAGGAUCGCCUUCAUCCACCCCGAUCUCCGGACUCGGUAACGUCUCUCUCUCUCUCUCUCUCUCUCUCUCUCUCUCUCUCUCUCUCUCUCUCGCAUUUUCUCAUUUGAGUUCGGCUAUAUCUGACAGAUAUCAACCGCCCGCAGGGGACCAUAGUCAUCUAUCUACGCUUUAAUUGCUCGGGGGCUUUAAUUGUUUUGCAUUUCAGAGGGUCACACCCAGAUGUCCGGCAACUAGGGCGAAGUGUUACCACUAGUGUUUGAUGAUGCAGAUUUGCAGAGUGAUUGCACGACCUAAUGCUUUUUUUUUUGGAGACAUGAGUACAUGACAAACUGAUAGACUGAG